UACGGAGGGUGCGAGCGUUGUCCGGAAUCACUGGGCGUAAAGGGCGCGUAGGUGGCCUGUGGAAGUCUGCGGUGAAAGCCCGGCGCUCAACGCUGGGUCGGCCGUGGAUACUCUCGGGCUCGAGCUUACUAGAGGCAGAUGGAAUUCCGGGUGUAGCGGUGGAAUGCGUAGAGAUCCGGAAGAACACCGGUGGCGAAGGCGGUCUGCUGGGGUAAUGCUGACACUGAUGCGCGACAGCGUGGGGAGCAAACAGG
rnacentral:rRNA from 1 species